rnacentral:rRNA from 1 species
GACGAACGCUGGCGGCGUGCUUAACACAUGCAAGUCGAACGGAAAGGCCCUGCUUGCAGGGUGCUCGAGUGGCGAACGGGUGAGUAACACGUGGGUGAUCUGCCCUGCACUUCGGGAUAAGCUUGGGAAACUGGGUCUAAUACCGGAUAGGAGCCAUCUUUAGUGUGGUGGUUGGAAAGUUUUUUCGGUGUAGGAUGAGCUCGCGGCCUAUCAGCUUGUUGGUGGGGUAAUGGCCUACCAAGGCGGCGACGGGUAGCCGGCCUGAGAGGGUGUACGGCCACAUUGGGACUGAGAUACGGCCCAGACUCCUACGGGAGGCAGCAGUGGGGAAUAUUGCACAAUGGGCGCAAGCCUGAUGCAGCGACGCCGCGUGGGGGAUGAAGGCCUUCGGGUUGUAAACUCCUUUCGCUAGGGACGAAGCUUUUUUGUGACGGUACCUAGAUAAGAAGCACCGGCUAACUACGUG